UUUAAAGUACAGGGGAGCUUGUUUUUGCAGGCUGAGAGGAAGUCAUCAACUUCGACCCUUUUUCACCUGAUGCGGAUAAUGCCGCCGUAGGAAGUCACCCGAAAAAGACUU
rnacentral:ncRNA from 2 species